AUGAGAUAUAUUCCCUCCUUGGGUGUGGUUGGCAAAUUGCAUUAAUUGGAUUUCUGCUAUCUGUCUCCCUGAGCAGGGGAUUUAAGCUGUAAAAUAGGGGAUGUUAAUAAUACCUACCUCAUAGAAUUAUUUUGAGGAUUCAAUGAGUUAAUAUAUAUAAAGGAAUUACACAGCAGAACCUAGUAUGUAGCUAGUGCUAUAAAUGUUACCUAUAUUAUUGCUAUUAUAACAAUUUUUUUUAUGGUGAAAACAUCUUUAUAGUUAGAAUUAGCCAGCUGGACUCAGUUUAGGUGACCCCAGUUUUGUUGACAACAUUGAAAGUUAUAGUCUUACAAGUCAGUUGAAUAUGUGCCUUCUUUUCUCCCUCAGGCCUGAUCAGGUUUUGACCUUGGCAAGGUCAUUUUCUUAGUGCUUCGUCACAGCUUGCUUGAUCUUGUGCUUGUUGGCCUUGACAUCCACAAAUGAACAGAACAAAUGUGUUGUUGUUUUCUAUCUUCUUCAUGGCUGACUCAGUAGUUAGGAGUCAUAGCGUUCAAGCUUACUUCACCUGGGGACACUCUUCCAAGGAUAUUUGGGCUGCUUUCAGAGCUGCUGUGUCUUGGGCUGUGGGAAGGUGGGUGAUAUGAAUAUCUUUUUUGUUGUGGCUGUGGACUCCUUUCAGCCCUGCUUUCUUGACCUUGAAAGCCUUUACUUUGGCUUCUGCUUUGGGAGGGGCAGGGACUUCUGUUGCUUUUGAUGCCAUCUUCAUGAAAAGCAAUGACAAUUUUUU